GUAUGGAGAAGGUGAAAGGAGCUAUAUGUAGUGGGAUAUUUUUAAAUACAAAGUUAUUCUUUCAGAGGAGAUCAGGAACAUGAUUCCUGGGGACUUGACAUUGUAUUUAAUAGGAAGUUCACUAGUUUUAGAUAAAUAUCUUAUUUUCUUGUCUACUCUGAUUGUAUGAAAUGAAGAAUCAAAAUGAGACUCUCUUUUCUCAGAUGU
rnacentral:lncRNA from 1 species